GGGUGUGUAGCUCAGUUGGUAAGAGCGUUGCGUUCACAUCGCAAAGGUCUGUGGUUCAAAUCCACACACACCCA
rnacentral:tRNA from 2 species